rnacentral:rRNA from 1 species
CUGAGAUAACCCCGGGAAACUGGGGCUAAUAUUAGAUAGAUAAAAGAUACUGGAAUGUUCUUUUAUCCAAAGCUUUUGCGCCUGAGGAUGGGCCUGCGUCCGAUUAGGUUGUUGGUGGGGUAAUGGCCCACCAAGCCUGCGAUCGGUACGGGCAGUGGGAGCUGAAGCCCGGAGUUGGGGACUGAGACAAGGCCCCAGGCCCUACGGGGCGCAGCAGGCGCGAAACCUCUGCAAUGCGGGAAACCGUGACAGGGGGAUCCCAAGUGCUCAUGCAUUGCAUGGGCUGUUCUUUGGCCUAAGUAACCAGAGGAGUAAGGGCUGGGCAAGACCGGUGCCAGCCGCCGCGGUAAUACCGGCAGCUCAAGUGGUAGCCGCGAUUAUUGGGCCUAAAACGUUCGUAGCCGGAUAAGUAAGUCUUUGGUUAAAUCCUGCGACUCAACCGUGGGAAUUCUAGAGAUACUGCUUGUCUUGAGACCGGGAGAGGUUGGAGGUACUCCUAGGGUAGGGGUGAAAUCCUGUAAUCCUAGGGGGACCACCUGUGGCGAAGGCGUCCAACUGGAACGGGUCUGACGGUGAGGGACGAAACCUAGGGGAGCGAGCCGGAUUAGAUACCCGGGUAGUCCUAGGCGUAAAUGAUGCGAGUUAAGUGUGGGGGCAUCUACGAGAUGGCCCUGUGCUGUAGGGUAGCCGUUAAACUCGCUGCCUGGGGAGUACGGUCGCAAGGCUGAAACUUAAAGGAAUUGGCGGGGGAGCACCACAAGAGGUGGAGGCUGCGGUUCAAUUGGAGUCAACGCCGGA